rnacentral:rRNA from 1 species
ACUCAAAUGAAUUGACGGGGGCCCGCACAAGCAGCGGAGCAUGUGGUUUAAUUCGACGCAACGCGAAGAACCUUACCUGGGCUUGACAUGUCCGUGACAGCUGUGGAAACACAGUCUCCCUUCGGGGCACGGUCACAGGUGGUGCAUGGCUGUCGUCAGCUCGUGUCGUGAGAUGUUGGGUUAAGUCCCGCAACGAGCGCAACCCUCGUCGCAUGUUGCCAGCAUUUAGUUGGGGACUCAUGCGAGACUGCCGGUGACAAACCGGAGGAAGGCGGGGAUGACGUCAAGUCAUCAUGCCCCUUAUGUCCAGGGCUACACACGUGCUACAUUGGCGCAUACAAACGGCUGCGAUACCGCGAGGUGGAGCGAAUCCGAAAAAGUGCGUCUCGGUUCGGAUUGGAGGCUGAAACUCGCCUCCAUGAAGGCGGAGUUGCUAGUAAUCCCGAAUCAGCAACGUCGGGGUGAAUACGUUCCCGGGCCUUGUACACACCGCCCGU